UUAGAUAAGGGAUGACCGACGUAUAAUCAUGGGAACAACGUACUUAAUGUUACACAUGGUCAAGGAAUAAAUUUUGAUCGAUAGGCACCAGACUUUUUCCAGUACAUUUUUUGCAUCCAGGCGUGUUCGGCCGGUGUGAAAUCGAAUCGUAUUCCGUAGCCGUUGUCAUGCAGUACGGCCGUCGCUGACGUGCGUCGUAAACCGUUGCGGCCAUGACGACGCGUUGGUGGUGGCGAUGAUCAGCAGCGGUGCGACCGCGGUAACGAUGUCGGUAACGAGAACGCCGCCACGGCCGGUGACCACUGCGGCCGCGGCGUCGGUGAUGGCCGCGACCGCGUGUUAGUGGCCGACACCACGUGUCCGUCUCUUAUGUCGGUGUUUGGGUCGACGGCAAAAGCGACGAGAACAGCGAC
rnacentral:lncRNA from 1 species